AUUGAACGCUGGCGGCAUGCUUUACACAUGCAAGUCGAACGGUAACAGGUUAAGCUGACGAGUGGCGAACGGGUGAGUAAUGCAUCGGAACGUGCCCGGUCGUGGGGGAUAACGCAGCGAAAGCUGCGCUAAUACCGCAUACGAUCUGAGGAUGAAAGCGGGGGACCGUAAGGCCUCGCGCGAUCGGAGCGGCCGAUGUCAGAUUAGGUAGUUGGUGGGGUAAAGGCCCACCAAGCCAACGAUCUGUAGCUGGUCUGAGAGGACGACCAGCCACACUGGGACUGAGACACGGCCCAGACUCCGACGGGAGGCAGCAGUGGGGAAUUUUGGACAAUGGGCGAAAGCCUGAUCCAGCAAUGCCGCGUGCAGGAAGAAGGCCUUCGGGUUGUAAACUGCUUUUGUACGGAGCGAAAAGGUCUCCUCUAAUACAGGGGGCUCAUGACGGUACCGUAAGAAUAAGCACCGGCUAACUACGUGCCAGCCGCCGCGGUAA
rnacentral:rRNA from 1 species